rnacentral:lncRNA from 1 species
UGAUGCCCUUUGAAGAUGCAUGAAAGAUCUCUGAGCAAUACUGUAAGUUGGUGGAUUUACUGGGGAUCUGAUUUUAAAACAAACAAAACAAAACAACCAACCAACCAACCAAACAAACAAACAAACAACAACAACAACAACAACAACAACAACAACAACAACAGCCUUACCCUUACUGUAGAAGAAAUGUAGCUGCAUGUCUCAAAUCAUGGAACUCCUAGAUGUUUCACUUAGGUCCUUGAAUUUCAUUUCGAUUUAUUUGGCAUCCUCUGAUGCUAUAUGAAAUCCCAAAGUGGUUGUUAUUUCCAACUCAGUCCAAUCAGUGCAAUAUCAUCAAUUUAAUGAACCAGUGUGAUAUUUUAUGGAAAAGACAUGUCAUGAAUAUUCCU